AUUGAACGCUGGCGGCAUGCCUUACACAUGCAAGUCGAACGGUAACGGGCCUUCGGGUGCCGACGAGUGGCGAACGGGUGAGUAAUGCAUCGGAACGUGCCCGAUCGUGGGGGAUAACGAGGCGAAAGCUUUGCUAAUACCGCAUACGAUCUACGGAUGAAAGCAGGGGACCGCAAGGCCUUGCGCGGACGGAGCGGCCGAUGGCAGAUUAGGUAGUUGGUGGGAUAAAAGCUUACCAAGCCGACGAUCUGUAGCUGGUCUGAGAGGAUGAUCAGCCACACUGGGACUGAGACACGGCCCAGACUCCUACGGGAGGCAGCAGUGGGGAAUUUUGGACAAUGGGCGCAAGCCUGAUCCAGCCAUGCCGCGUGCAGGAUGAAGGCCUUCGGGUUGUAAACUGCUUUUGUACGGAACGAAAAGCCUUCUUUUAAUACAGGAGGGUCAUGACGGUACCGGAAGAAUAAGCACCGGCUAACUACGUG
rnacentral:rRNA from 1 species